CUAUAAUGCAGUCGAGCGGACAGAUGGGAGCUUGCUCCCUGAUGUUAGCGGCGGACGGGUGAGUAACACGUGGGUAACCUGCCUGUAAGACUGGGAUAACUCCGGGAAACCGGGGCUAAUACCGGAUGGUUGUUUGAACCGCAUGGUUCAAACAUAAAAGGUGGCUUCGGCUACCACUUACAGAUGGACCCGCGGCGCAUUAGCUAGUUGGUGAGGUAACGGCUCACCAAGGCGACGAUGCGUAGCCGACCUGAGAGGGUGAUCGGCCACACUGGGACUGAGACACGGCCCAGACUCCUACGGGAGGCAGCAGUAGGGAAUCUUCCGCAAUGGACGAAAGUCUGACGGAGCAACGCCGCGUGAGUGAUGAAGGUUUUCGGAUCGUAAAGCUCUGUUGUUAGGGAAGAACAAGUACCGUUCGAAUAGGGCGGACCUUGACGGUACCUAACCAGAAAGCCACGGCUAACUACGUGCCAGCAGCCGCGGUAAUACGUAGGUG
rnacentral:rRNA from 1 species